AACAGGGGAAUGAGGUUCUCCCUUGGGUAAUACCCUAAACCGCUUUUCAGACUUUUUUAGACUUAAAGCUGAUGACUUCUGCGUUA
rnacentral:ncRNA from 1 species